GGCAAUAUAGAAGUUGCAAGAAUACAUGCUGAAGAUGCAAUCCUCCAGAGGAACCAAGCAAUUAAUUUUUUGAGAAUGAGUGCUAGAGUUGAUGCUGUGGCAGCCAGAGUUCAAAUUGCAGUAACAAUGGGCAAGAUUUCUGCCCUGAUGGACAAAUUUGAACACCAGUUUGAAACACUUUAUGUUCAAACACAACAAAUGGAAGACACAAUGAGUAGCACCAGAACCAAGUGGCUAUGCUGCUUCAAGAAAUGGCAGCUGAAGCUGGGUAA